AGCCCCAAAUUCGACUCUUCUCCCCAAAUUCGCCUAGUCGACUCUUCUCCCCAAAUUCGCCCCAUAUUCGCGAUUCAGGCCAACUGAGUUCUUCUCCAAAUACAAACUGAGUUCUCCUCUCUCCAAAUAAUAAACCUUCUGUGUCUUUGAAAAAACCCAAACUGAUCGUGCGUCUCUCCUCAGUCCAAAUAAUAAACCCUAGUCGUGCUCCUCUUCGAGUGAGAAUCGCGAUUGAAGCAGACUGAGAAUCGCGAACUGAGAAUCUCUCCAAAUCGGAGAACCCUAGCUGCCAUUCUCCCCUCUACUCAACUGAAGCUUCUCUAAGAUUCGGGUAAAUCACUAAGAAUCGGUAUGUAAGUUCUUCUGUGUAUGUAAGCUUCUCUAAGAUUCGGGCAAAUCACUGAUUUUGUGUAUGUAAGUUCCUCUGGAAGUAUAACAGUUCAUUUGGGGUAGGGUACUUACUUUGAGGUGAUAAUUGGAAAAAUAAGACUCUCCUUAUAACUGAAAAUAAUUAAACUAAACUUUCAUUAUAAGAUGGAGGAGGAGGAGAGUAUUUGUAUAUAAUAUGUAGGAAAAUAACCAAUGUGAAAACUAAAUAUGUUAAUCAGUUUUGUUGGGUAGUCUCUAAGAGAGGCUUUUUGAUCAUCAGAGCAGUUUUAGUUUCACCUGAAUCAGUAUCCAUUUGUGUAUUUUAUAGUUUCAAUGUCAAGCUCCAUUUUCUGUUUUUGUCUGUUUUUGAAUUAAACUUGGUGCCCAGUUCCUCAUAGUUACAUAUCUGUUUUUGAAUUCAACUUGGUGAGAAUGAUAUCCUUCUAUUUUGCUUUAACAAUUUAUGUAUUCUAAUUAUUUAAACUAAUUAGAUUUUUUUAAGAUGAGAAUUAUAUUUCUUUUUUGGUUUAUUGAGGAACUUUGACUUUAUAAUGAAUUUGGAACUUGAAUAUGUUGAGGAAUGAAGUAAUGAAGUAAUGCAGUGUAUGUUGAGGAAUUUUACUGAAAUUGGGAGGUAUGUUAAGGUGCUUAUUCUUUAAUUUUUAGGAAUUUUACUAAAAUUGGGAGGUAUGUUGAGAGAAUGAUAAUUUUGCUUAUUCUUUAAUUGGCUUGAAUUCAGAUGCUUAGGCUUGUGAAUUGAGUUAUAUCAUUGGCUCUCUUUUUUUUAGUUUAUUCUUUGACCAAUAUGUGCAUAUAGUGAUGACACUUGUUUUCUCCUGUAUCAGUCGAAGGAAAAAUCAGUCAUGAGCACAAAUUCAUCAGGGAGUUCAUCAAGCAGUUGCAAAUGUGGAGUUCCUUCACCUGUGAAGGUUUCAUGGGCCAAAAAAAAUCCCGGGAGAUGAUUUGUUGGUUGCACAAAUUAUAAAACUAUAUCAUGUAACUCGUUUGAAUGGAUUAAUCCACCGAUGUCACCGAGCUCAAGAAUUGCUCAGUAUUAUUGCAAAAACAAUGAAUUACAGUCUGAAAUAGAAAAUUUGAAUAAAAGGAUUAACGAGUUGACUAUUGUCGAAAAGAAAAAUCAAGAGCUGGUGGAGAAAAUUGAGGAGAUGACAUUGAAGAAUGAAAGACUAAAGAAAAAAAAUGGUGUACUCGAUGUUUCUUUUUUCUUUCAUGUUGUGGUUUUUGUUGUUUGUAAUGUACGUAGUUAUAGUUGUGUUGUAAUGAAAUUGUUUAAUUG
rnacentral:lncRNA from 1 species